CUCCGGCCCUCAGAAGCGGCGAGACGCACAGGCGCUCCGCAACCCUGCGCGGCGAUUGGCCAGAGAGCCAGGGGGCGGGGUAGGGGCGGGAAUCGGCUCUUGGGUGGCGGUCUUGGACACGUCGAGAGGGUCAGAAGUGGAGGGGGCUUCUGAAGAGUCCUGGGGGUGUGACAGAAUAAGGUUCUGAGAAGGAGGCGCCGGUGGCUGGACUCGAUCUGGGAAGUUUGCCUCUGCUGUUAAUUCUUCUUUUUGCCUUCCUCACCAGACAUGCUACAAAAGAGAAAAAGAUGACAUAGUUAUCACUGAAAAAUGGCCUAUUCAGGAUCUCUAACUGAACUCCCAUUCUCAGAAAUGCUGGAGUUGCUGGUUAGGGACAGGCCCUGGAGUGCUCAGUUGGGAACAAAUCUUAACUUCAUUAAUCAUGUUGGGAACUAUAUACAGCAUUUUCUUCACACAGAAGGUUUUUUGUUGUCUUAUUAGUCAGCAAUAAAGUCUGUUUUUCUGAUAGUUCAAUUCCUGUAUUUCACAACUAAUCUAGAAAAAUAGAACUGUAGAAGAUAUAUAACUUCCCCUUCAUCUGGAACUCAGAUUUUAUUCAUACAGUGGGUGAAAGAAACCUCUCUCAAAUCCCAAACACGAGCCAUUUGGUAUUAAAUUUAGUGUUGGCCCAGAAAGGUCUUUGUUUAGUAGGUGGUGGUGUGUGUAAAUUCUAAGUGAGACUGGGCAAGCUUUGUGCCCUUUUGGAAUAUCAGAAUAAACAUGUUUUAUUUUAGUUCCUGGUUGAAUCUUGACUUUCUUUCUUUUCUUUUUUUUUUUUUAAGCGUCCUCUUCUUAAACAUACAGUCCUUAGAGCCUGUGUACUAUAUCUAUGUCGUACAUCUCUGUAAUUCAGAACUUUGGUUCUCAAAUUUUAGAGUGCGUAAGAAUUGCCUAUAUAUCUGGAUAUAUACGUAGAGUCUGAGACUCCAUUCCCUGAGAGGAGAUUCAGUAGUCUGGAGUGGGGUCCGUAAUUUUCAUUUUUAGCCAAACAUCUCAAAUAAUUCUGAUUCAGGCAGUCCUUGGACCAUACUUUGAGAAACCCUUGAGUUAGGAUUUACUAUGUGUGUUAUUAAUGUACCAGUCGUUUUCAUAUGUAUUUUUACAUCUGAUGUUCAAAAAAAUUGUGAGAUUUUAUUAACCCAGGUUUAUGUGUAUGUAUUAUCCCCACAAAGUUUUAGUAACUUGUUCUGAGCUCCAAAGAUGGCAUUGCAUUAUGACAGUCAGCAGUCUGACUCCAAGAACCAGGAGGGCCGUUGCUCUUAGUAUUUCUGCUUUUAGGUAUUUCUCAGAAGAGAUGAUUGUAUAAGAUUGGUGAAUUGGAAAAUAUUGGAAAGUGAUAUGAACAGUCUGUUAAGUUAAAGCCACUGAAAUGUUGGAAUGUCUAAAGCAUAUCAUCUAAUAUUCAGAAUGUUCCUAGAAAAGACAAGUAUGCAUUUGUUCUUCUUUGAAACGAUAUUAUACACACCUAAAUUUUUCU